GAAGUAGCAAUACGACGAUACAAGAGUGGCGGAAGGGCGAGGAACGCGUGGGCAAUCUACCCUCUGGUUGGGGAUAACCCGCCGAAAGGUGAGCUAAUACCGGAUACGAUGGUUCGUCAUAAGAUGGAUUGAUCAAAGAUGGGGAGCCGUAAGGUCCUGUCGCCGGAGGAGGAGCCCGCGUCCUAUCAGCUUGUUGGUGAGGUAACGGCUCACCAAGGCUUACGGGUAGCUGGUCUGAGAGGAUGGUCAGCCGCACUGGGACUGAGACACUGCCCAGACUCCUACGGGAGGCUGCAGUCGAGGAUCAUUCGCAAUGGGCGCAAGCCUGACGAUGCGACGCUGCGUGGAGGAUGAAGGCCUUCGGGUCGUAAACUCCUGUCAUUCGGGAACAAUAAAUUGUCCAUUAAUACUGGAUGAAAUUGAUAGUACCGGAAGAGGAAGCCACGGCUAACUCUGUGCCAGCAGCCGCGGUAAUACAGAGGUGGCAAGCGUUGUUCGGAUUUACUGGGCGUAAAGGGUGCGUAGGUGGUAUUGUGUGUCGGUCGUGAAAGCUCACCGCUCAACGGUGAAAGUGCGUCCGAAACUACAAAACUAGAGUGCAGGAGAGGAGAGCGGAAUACUUGGUGUAGCGGUGGAAUGCGUUGAGAUCAAGUAGAACACCGGUGGCGUAGGCGGCUCUCUGGAAUGUAACUGACACUGAGGCACGAAAGUUGGGGGAGCAAACAGGAUUAGAUACCCUGGUAGUCCCAACCCUAAACGGUGUACACUUGUUGUAGGGGGAAUUGACCCCCCCUGUGACGGAGCUAACGCGUUAA
rnacentral:rRNA from 1 species